rnacentral:rRNA from 1 species
UACGUAGGGUGCGAGCGUUAAUCGGAAUUACUGGGCGUAAAGCGUGCGCAGGCGGUCCGCAAAGUCUGAUGUGAAAGCCCCGGGCUCAACCUGGGAACUGCAUUGGAAACUAACGGGCUCGGGUGUGGCAGAGGGGGGUGGAAUUCCACGUGUAGCAGUGAAAUGCGUAGAGAUGUGGAGGAACACCGAUGGCGAAGGCAGCCCCCUGGGAUAACACUGACGCUCAUGCACGAAAGCGUGGGGAGCAAACAGG